GACGAACGCUGGCGGCGUGCCUAAUACAUGCAAGUCGAGCGGACUGAUUAAGAGCUUGCUCUUAUGACGUUAGCGGCGGACGGGUGAGUAACACGUGGGCAACCUGCCCUGUAGAUCGGGAUAAAACCGAGAAAUCGGUGCUAAUACCGGGUAAUAUCUGAGAUCACAUGAUCUUAGGUUAAAAGAUGGCUCCGGCUAUCACUACAGGAUGGGCCCGCGGCGCAUUGGCUAGUUGGUAAGGUAAUGGCUUACCAAGGCGACGAUGCGUAGCCGACCUGAGAGGGUGAUCGGCCACACUGGGACUGAGACACGGCCCAGACUCCUACGGGAGGCAGCAGUAGGGAAUCUUCCGCAAUGGACGAAAGUCUGACGGAGCAACGCCGCGUGAGUGAUGAAGGGUUUCGGCUCGUAAAGCUCUGUUGUUAGGGAAGAAACAGUACCGAACGAACUAGGUCGGUACCUUGACGGUACCUAACCAGAAAGCCACGGCUAACUACGUG
rnacentral:rRNA from 1 species